CGACAUGAGGACAUAGUCUGCACACAGCUGGGAGGUGGAGAAUUUGCUGCUCUGAGCUUGGCCGUCUGCAGCGUAGAUGUCCCCAAAGCUUCCAGGGUCACGGAGGAAGUCUCUUUUUCUCCCUACAGAUCAGAAAAACUAGAGUGGACUUUGCGACCCAAAUCAUCCUUCAUGGUCACGUGUCCAACCAGACUGCUUCGAUCCUACCUGCUCCUACCAAGACAGAGAAGAACCACAGACAGCAAGGGGGAACUGCAACCAGCACAAACAUACUGCUAAGAUUUGGGAAGAUACAAGUAGCACCGUGGACUGACAGCAUACUUAACUACCUAUAAAGGACAGGUAGCAUUGCUGAUCUCUGAUUAAGUUCAGAAUAGGAUACACUUCCUGUGCAGCAAAAAGAUCUUCCCUUGAAACUCUUGCCCUUAACUGGCAUUAGUUGAUCUUCAACUGUGGCUUCAAGGCACCUCAAGAUACCAUCACACUGAUUCCCAGUCAAAGCAAGCUUUUGCGAGGAAUGCUCUUGGAAAGAGAUGGGAGGCCAGAGGAGGGGAGACUGAGUAAGCAAGGAAAACCAUAUCCUGCUGUCUAUGUUCAGUAACGUCAUCCAAUAUUAUGAUAUGUGCAGAUGUUUACAAGAAUGCUAAUCUCUUCCCAAGUGGUGUUACAGCUAGCAGGGUGUGGAGAAUCUAUCUGAAGACUCCCAAGCACGCUCUCAGAGUGUUCACCCUUAGCCUUCUAGCUGAUGGGAAACAUGUCAUGGUGACCAAUGGCAAAUACAGCACUUACCAUUACCGCAACUACUAAAAAGGCUUUAUACUGGCUGUUUAUAACCUUUAAGAGGCCUUCGAGAUCAGUAAGAGGGGUCAAGUGAUGUUAUUGUUUUGGUGACAGACGGAAGAUCCCUAGUAAAUGAUGGUGGUCUGGGAAUCAUUAAAAGAAUGGAGUACUUCAUCUGUUCAAAAGCUGAAGAGGGAAGCAACUUUGGAGAGCAGCUCCUUGACAGAGAAUUACAUCUCUUUGGGAGGCCAACACUCUGUGGUCAUGAUGAACACUGCAUGUGAACCACAGAUACUUCAUUAAGUGAGAGCACAGACAUGCAAGACCAGUGGUGACUUACUGGUGACCAUAAGCAAAUGCCAGCCUCAAAACCUCCACCAGUGAAGCCACAAGUCAGGACAGAGGCUCAUCAAAUGCUCUAUGAAAGGAUGUAGGUGAUGUUUACAGCACCACCAAUGGAGUCAGGGGCUGAAAAUAAUGGUGCAGCACCAAAGGGAACACGUGAAAAAGGAACGAAAUCACUCAACUCAACUGGGAUGGCUCAAAAAGGGGCAAGAG